GACGGGUGUGGCUGUGCACACCUGUAAUCCCAGCAGCUCAGAGAUUGAGGCAGGAGGAUCACAAGUUCAAAGCCAGCUUCAGGAAUUUAGCAAGUCCCAAAGCAACUUAGUGAGACCCUGUCUCAA
rnacentral:sRNA from 1 species